AAAAUUUAUUUCGUUUCCGACCUUUUUUUCGCUACAAAAUAGUCCCCAAGGUUUCAGUUUAUUUUAAAAUCGUCCUUUUUUUUUCAAAUCUUUUAUUUUUAUUACCAAAUUACCCUUAAUAAAAAAUUAAAAAAAUAGAAAAAGAAAACGCGUAAAGUAAAGGGGAAAGGGGGAAGGGGUUACGCGAAGGGAGAAGGGUGGAGAGGGAGAAGGGUCCUCGCCGUUGUCGCCAGCUAUUCUUUGUCGCCGCCGCCGCUGUUCUUCGCAGCCACCGCCAUUCAACAGCACCAGAAUCAGUCGCAGUUCCGCCUUCAAAUGUCAGGGCCAUCGUUGCUCGUCGUUGUUCAGUGGUUGGAUCUCGCCGCUGCUCCUCUGGGCUCGGCGGAGGUGCUCGAUGGCAGUGGAUUCUGGUUCAAGGCAAGAACAGAGGAAGGCUUCGGUGGUGAGCUGAAGGAGGAGAAGAGGUCGCGCUGUGACGGUGGCACUAGGGUAGCGCGAAGAGAGAAGAAGAAAAGGGUUGUGGCGCUUUGAUGGCGGAUCGGCGCUGUGAUGGCGGUUUCGGGUGGCUCGCCAGAUUCUUCUUCUAUUGUUCAUGAAUUUUUGAAAUUGUGGAAAGCUGGCUGAGAAGAAAAUAGUGAGUUACCUACCAAAUUGUUCCAUGGGUUUCAUAGAGCUCGUCGCGGUGAACGCGUAGUCGCAAACGGUUCGUCAAUCAGAAUUUCAGAUCAAAAGUUAUUGAGACAUGAAAUCUCAAUGAGGGUUUGGAAGCUUUGGUGUUCUUCCUCCCAACAAUGACAGCGUGGAUGCAGAAAUGAAGGG
rnacentral:lncRNA from 1 species